rnacentral:piRNA from 1 species
UGCUCUAAGAAGGGACUUCUAUUCCCAGCA